AACAAAUGUUAUUGUUCUGGUCGGAACCUUUGUAUUUGCGUGUUUCUGGUACGCCCAUAAAUCUGAUGCACAAGAGGCAAAAGCAAACAACGAGCUUCUGUUGCCACCAAGAAGAGGCGAUGAGGAAAAACGAGAUUCUGUCGGAUCUGCAGUGAAAAAUGGCUCCGUAACGAGGGUGGGAGAGGCCGGGUUGACGCCCACCCUGCAGACCGCUAGGUGGGCCGGCUGUCUGUCUGUCUGUCUGUCUGUCUGACGACUGAUUGCUCUUCUGCAGCAUGAAUGAUGAGACUGAAACAAGCUGGGAGCUCCGGAAAACACAAAGAGAAGCAAGUUGAAGCAAUUACUGCUGAGGGAACGAUGGUGUUGGGCCUCAGAGAGGAGCUUGAUGUGCUUUAUGCAUUCUUAAACAUCCAUACAGCGAGUAUGGAAGUUAGAUUGUGAUUUAAAAAAAAAAAAAAAUGAAGCAGAAAAAACGUAACAAAUACAGAAAUGUGUUCAGGUGAAGGUCAGAAAGGUCUUAAUUUUUCAUUUCGUUCACAAUGUUGUAGACACACUUCUGUUUUGGUACUUCAAAACUACUUCAUCUUAAAGGGAAAAUAAAUGCAAAUCAUCAAAGUAUCUUCAAAGUUGCUGUGGGAAGGAAGGAUUUCCAGUAGCAGUCAGUCUUGCAACAUAUCUGAAGAAGCCUCUGAUUGAAGACAAUGCUGCUCACCUUUAAAUCUGUCAGCAGAGGUGUUCGAGUCAGAGAUAUUCCAAAUUAAAUUCCCCUCCUACAUAAAUAAAAUCUCAAACUGUGUUUUGUGUUCACACGGUUUUUUUUGAUAUUGUUUUGGAUCUGAAAUCGUCUGGAGACAAUCGGACAACUCUCAGCAUCAUUUUUAAACUACAAUACAAAAAUAAGGCAUCUUCAGUCAGAGGCUUCUUCAAAACUGCUGUAAUACUGACCACUACAGGAGAUUUUGUGUAAAAUACAGGAGGCACAAUCUCAACACAAGCAGAGAACCAGGCACAUAAAACAGGAGUCCAAACAGUUCACAUUUAAUGCCCUGGGCUUUAUUUUCUUAUUUUAGUGAGAGUUCUGUCACAUUUUUUAAGUCUUUUCAGCCUCCAGGUGGGACAAGUAAACCUCAAAGAUAUAUUUUGCCAUUGGACUGGGCAUUCAGGUUCUGACAAAGACAAGAAGCACUACUAAGUAAUGCUGCCUUUGUGCCUCUUAACUCUUCACGGAAGAGACGACGUACAUUUUCCCCAAAAGGAAGGCACCAAAUACUUGUGGUUUUUGGCCUCGCAGCCAUCUGGAGAUUCUUUUUACCAAGAAGAAAUAAAAAGAAGAAGAAAAAAAAAAAGAAAACAAAGAGGAAGUGAGAAAAGAAAUUCUCACAAACGCCCCUCAUUGGGAUUUUUUCUCUCUCUUUCCGAUAUUAAAAACUGGAAUGAUGAAACAGCGAUUACUGCCCGUUCACCUCCCUUAUCACCUAUGCAUGAACAAGUAACAAAUGAACAAAAGAAUGAAGUCUUAAAAAAAAGCUUACAAUCAAUUUAACCACAAGGAGAAAAACAAAAUACAAAAAUAGCUUUUUUUGUUUUGUAAAAAAUAAAAUAAAAUAAAGUCAGAUAAAACAAUUAAAGGAGACGCCACUUGCAUGAAAAUGACAGAUGACUCCUUUAAAAAAAAUAAAAAAUACAAAAGCAGCAUUGAUAUUUAUAUAAAAACAAAAAGUCACAAAACAAUAGUGCUUAAAUUAGAAGCAGAAGCUUCUGGGAAGAGACUUCAUCCCUGUUUUGUUACUUGUGUUUGGGACAUUAUACGAAGAGGAAGAGUUGCUCCUCCUCCUCCUCAUCAUCACAGCUCACGUUAAUGUGAUCCAGGGGGAGGAAAAAAAAAAAAAA